GUCGGUGUAGUUUUAAAAAAAACAUUAGAUUGUGAUUCUAAAAACAGAAGUUAAAAUCUUCUCACCCACC
rnacentral:tRNA from 1 species